CUGGUUUUUGUUUGGUAUAUGGAUUUUACGGAGUGGCAUUGACUUCACCUCGACAACGGUAAAUAAGUGCCUUAUUUACCAGUGAUUGAGAUAAUAUUUGUUUUGUUGUAAUAUAUGAAAACUAGCUUUCACAUACGUAGGGUAUGUACUAUGAACAAUUUGGAAAUAGCAGAUUGAAUAUUGUUUGUAGAUACGAAAAGAUCAACUAUUCAAUCACAACUUAUUAAAAUCG